UGGGGGAUCGUCUAACGGUAGGACUUCAGAUUCUGGAUCUGACUAUCUUGGUUCGAAUCCAGGUCCCCCAG
rnacentral:tRNA from 1 species